rnacentral:rRNA from 1 species
CUACGGGAGGCAGCAGUGGGGAAUCUUAGACAAUGGGCGCAAGCCUGAUCUAGCCAUGCCGCGUGAGUGACGAAGGCCUUAGGGUCGUAAAGCUCUUUCGCCAGGGAUGAUAAUGACAGUACCUGGUAAAGAAACCCCGGCUAACUCCGUGCCAGCAGCCGCGGUAAUACGGAGGGGGUUAGCGUUGUUCGGAAUUACUGGGCGUAAAGCGCACGUAGGCGGACUGGAAAGUUGGGGGUGAAAUCCCGGGGCUCAACCCCGGAACUGCCUCCAAAACUCCUGGUCUAGAGUUCGAGAGAGGUGAGUGGAAUUCCGAGUGUAGAGGUGAAAUUCGUAGAUAUUCGGAGGAACACCAGUGGCGAAGGCGGCUCACUGGCUCGAUACUGACGCUGAGGUGCGAAAGUGUGGGGAGCAAACAGGAUUAGAUACCCUGGUAGUCCACACCGUAAACGAUGAAUGCCAGUCGUCGGGCAGUAUACUGUUCGGUGACACACCUAACGGAUUAAGCAUUCCGCCUGGGGAGUACGGUCGCAAGAUUAAUACUCAAAGGAAUUGACGG